GGUUCCCAGAAAGGGGGAAGCCUGUGCUUUGGUGGCAGCCCGUGAGAGUGGCUUCUGCGAAAUGGAGCAGCCGUGGUCAGAUCUCACAGGCCAAGUCCUUCUACCACCCUCAGGCCUCUCAAGGGCAUGAGGCCUCAGCUGGGCUCAAGUGGGCACCAGGAGAAGCUAGGUAGACAGCAGCCUGACUUGGAAUGGCCUUUGGCCAGGAAUUAAUAAACGCAACUUGUAUGGGAGACAGCAUCUCCCUGAUGGAACUGUGAAUCAUGGAUCCAUCUCAGGGUCACCCUGCGGGUUCCUGUGAGCGGGGGUGAGGCCAGCCAUCCUCAGCCUAAGUGAGCAGCAAGGCAGCCCCAAGGGAGCUCCAUGAGGGUCAGGGCAGCCAUUCCCAGAGGUGCCCCCAUCAUGCUACAGAUGCCUUCUCUCCAGACAGCACAGACCUGAUGUCACCGGACCAGCAUGUCACCCCAGCAGCACAGGCCUGAUGUCACACUCCAUCAGCAUAUCAUCACCAAAUGCAAAGCCCUGAAGCCACUGCUUCACCAUGUCACCCCCAACAGCACAGGCCUGAAGUCACACCCCAUGUCACCCCCAACAGCACAGGCCUGAAGUCACACCCCAUGUCACCCCCAGCAGCACAGGCCCAAAGUCACUUCCCAUGUCACCCCCAACAGCAUAGUCCUAAAUCAUACCAUGGGUAAUUCUUCUCCUUUCCUUUAAUCCUAGUCCCAGAUAAAUUGCAAAAAGGGAGUCAAGCAAA